rnacentral:lncRNA from 1 species
GUCUCUUUAGUUGCAAUUUGUUUAGUCAUCGAUCACUGCCCUUAAAAAUCCUUCAAAUUAUACUAAAUAUUUGCUUAAUGUUUAAUUGAUACUUUAUCGAUUCUUUGCAAAUUGGUUUUAUAUUUUCAAAUCUUGUUCAUUUGCGGACAAGAUCAAAUUUCUGGCCCAACGUGAACCUCCGCCAACACCCAUUGUUGUGCAAUGUUUUCAUAUAAUUCGAUGCAAUUUUCUCUUUAUUCAAAUCCCCAGCUUCGAUCUCGGGUAUCUGCGAAUAGAGCCAUCCGAUCUGCAGAUAUCCAACUAACACACAUUGUCGUGGCAAUGUGUUCCUGAAUACUAUCUAAAUUUACCUUAAACGAUCUGCUGUGCACCAGCCCUGGCAGAUUGCCCUAAUCCUAAUGCUGAUCGGGGCGAUUAGCCGGCGAUUAGACAUGUAAAUAUUUGUGUUCUUCAAUGGCGCAAUCGGGGCCUCUGUCGCAGAUCGUUGAUUGGAUCAUGUUCAGCUUAGGAUCGAGUGCUGAGCUGAUCUCUCAUCCCUGAUCGCAUCCGAUUCCAUUCGAUGGCAACGGAAGUGUCAUACUUGGAAUCGGAACUGCCCCUUCUCGGCAGGCGGACGCCUCUGUCUGCUGUGCCGGACAAAUCAAAUGCCUGGACAUUCCACAAAAAAUAUCUGUGGAGCCCCAAAAGAACGUUAAAACGAGGCCAACGCGGUACAACCACAAUGAGGAAUUGCACUCUGGUGGCUUCCUCCUGGCGAAGGGAAGGAAGAGUGGCGAGUGGCGAGUGGGUGGUGAUGCCGUGCUCCUCUGAUGUGGUGUGGUUUGGUGUUUGGGGCAGCCACGAGUCAAGAUGCUGCGGCUUCGGAGCCAACCAAAAUGUCGCGAUGUCGCUCUCUGUCUCUGUUUCUCUCUCCCACUCCCACUACCACUCUCUUUCUGUUUCUCUCUGUCAGCACACUUCCAAUAAAUCGCUGCCUUUCCCGGCAACAGCGGCGUCGACUCCUCUGCUUUUGUACGUGCGCGCCCGCUCGCUGUGAGGGCCAACAGCACAGACGACGGACUUGGCCACAGGUUACUUGCCAGCUUCAGCGUUGAGCGUUAGCGUGCGACAAGGACGCGCUGUCAGAGCGCGAAUUUUCCAGCGAAACUGGGCAGCAGCUUCUGGUCAUAGUCUGAGUCGAAGUCUGGGUUCCUUGUAGCAUGUCCGGGGUGCUGGACCCCGCUGCGUUUUUCCUCGUUUUCCUCAAUUUUCGUGGGCCCAUUCAGCGCCCGCUGAUCGAUCGACGAGCGACGAGCGACGAUCGACAGAAGCCGGAGAGCGCGCGCGUCCAUCGCGACAGGAGGAAGGAUCAUGUCGCGAUUGCGCUUCCUUCCACCUACCUGUAUGUACCUCACGGCCUCUGCCAUUACGCGCAGCUGUACCAGGAGCCCACUCCUACCCUUUUUUAUGGAUUUUUUGAACGCCCCACACUAAAGCAAAAAAUUACUAAGUGAUCGGUAAAACUUCGAGCAGGUAUUGGCUGGUCCCAGGUCUCGAAACCACACCAAAGCGCAAUCUCGCGACCUCCACGUAAUCCUUUACUUACGAAAGUCAAUCGCCGGGAUUAGCCAGCACGCCCCGCAAAUAUUUUGGCCGAUUAGCCGCCCCGCCAUCGUAAACCCGUGCCGAUCCGCGCACAAAAAAUAUCCCAUAGUUUGCUACCUGUUUCUGGUAGGAUUUCGCGUUUUAUUUUUUGUGCAUUUGGGGGAGAGAGGGCGGUCGGGAUUAGACGGGUAGGUUCAGGGAUCACCGCGAAUGGAUUAGCGGAGCAGUCGUUUAAGGUCUCGUUUUAUUGGACUUUAAUUGAAGCGAUACAAGGCUCCGAUGGGGAGUGGGAGCUGAAGCAAGAAGACGGUAGAGCUAAACGAUUGAUUGUCAGAGGACUUUGGACAUAUUAUGAUAUCUGAAAUCAUCUUAAAUGAAAUCUCAAGAUCAAAUUGCAUCGUCCAUUACUUAUCUUCAAGUUGCCAAUUAAUUAAUUCAUGUUUCGUACUGACGUUUGCGUAGACACUUUUAGGAUCACUUUAAGGGAUAUUUGAACAUAAAAAAAACACUUCUGCAAAGCGAAUAUGCUAAUUCCAUUGCAUGAUCUCGUUCAAGUUCUGCACAAAACUGAGGAUCAUCCACCAUGAAACCCCAUAAAGAGUGUUUAUUUACCGCAUGAAAGGUCGCAUUGGGGAAUGGCCUGACCCAAAGCAAAACCUCAUCCCCCACAGGUCACACAGUGGCGAUCCUCCCCUAGAGCAGAAAGAGUGCAUGCCAUAAUGACACAGAGAGAACGCUCUUGAUCCCACCCCAAUCCAAGCGAGAGAGAGAGAGAGAGAAGCACAAGAUCGCGUGUGCUCCGCCAACCAAUGGAGGGAUCGCCUCCACCAGUGCGUGAUACGGGGUUGAUUUAUUAAUAGAGCGGAGCGUAUGGCCGCACUCGAGCGUGAAGAGAGUGAUCGAUGGAUGUGCGUGAGAGAGAGAGAGAGAAGAGUGAGUGAGUGAUCCGAUGGCUCCGCCUCCCAGUUCCUCAACGCUCCGUUCAGCACAGUAGAGGAGUGCAGCAGCCACAGACCAGCACCGACCGCUGCCGCUAAC